rnacentral:misc_RNA from 1 species
GAUGAAGAACGUAGCGAAAUGCGAUAAGUAAUGUGAAUUGCAGAAUUCCGUGAAUCAUCGAAUCUUUGAACGCACAUUGCGCCCCCUGGCAUUCCGGGGGGCAUGCCUGUCCGAGCGUCAUUUCUGCCCUCCAGCCCGGCUGGGUGUUGGGCGCUGUCCCCCCGGGGACACGCCCCAAAGGCAGUGGCGGCGCCGCGUCGGGUCCUCGAGCGUAUGGGGCUUUGUCACCCGCUCGGGACGGACUCGUCGGCGCUGGUCUUCCUCCAGGCGUCCCUUCGGGGCUCGUCUUCCUUCGGUUGACCUCGGAUCAGGUAGGGUUACCCGCUGAACUUAAGCAUAUCAAUAAGCGGAGGA